UGGGGGAGGCCGGAUCCUGGGCUGUGUCCCGGCGCCCUGUACUCCCGGUCUGCGCUGUUGGAUUCGCGCUCCCGGGCCGCGCAGCCCCCU
rfam:Canis lupus familiaris chromosome 14, whole genome shotgun sequence.